rnacentral:lncRNA from 10 species
ACCCUUGAAUAUCUCUAACCCCUGAUCCACUGGGGAGGCUGAUUUGAGUAAUAAUAAACCUCUGUCCUCCUGUUUGGCAGACUUGGAGUCGUUAAAAUCUUUCUUGACUAGAAACCAACAUUUCAAUAAUUUUUUUUUUUUUUUUUUUUUUUUUUUUUUUUGUGCAGGAGGCCAGAAGAACUUGCCUGGCAAUUAUGAGUGGAUGGAGGAACUGCCUAUCCCUGUCCCAUUGUCUUGUCCACAGGUCAGCCUCACAAAGGGAAAGAGCCCUGGAUGGGAAUACAGUGGAAGCUCAUUCUCUUAGUGACCUGGGGACAUUGGCUCGAGAUGAAGCCUGGCAGGAGUGGCAACUCCAGGUUUGGAUGCCUAAGAAGAGAGGUUUUGAGCCAAUAAAUGACUAUGGGGUGCUUGGAAGCCAGUGAGCCCUCACUUCUGGUGGAGGAGAGGAUGAGCCUGUGGCUGCGGACACACCUCAUGUGACCCUGAUCUCCCCUUUGUGAUUGUGUGACUCUGGCUCAGGGACUGUGUCUUCCUGUACCUCAGUUUUCUGUCAAUCAGAUAAGCUAAAUGGCAAAUGGACAGUGGCUUUUCAUGCUAUCUGUG